UGCAAGUCGAACGGCAGCACAGGAGAGCUUGCUCUCUGGGUGGCGAGUGGCGUACGGGUGAUGAAUACAUCGGAAUCUACUCUGUCGUGGGGGAUAACGUAGGGAAACUUACGCUAAUACCGCAUACUACCUACGGGUGAAAGCAGGGGACCUUCGGGCCUUGCGCGAUUGAAUGAGCCGAUGUCGGAUUAGCUAGUUGGCGGGGUAAAGGCCCACCACGGCGACGAUCCGUAGCUGGUCUGAGAGGAUGAUCAGCCACACUGAAACUGAGACACGGUCCAUACUCCUACGGGAGGCAGCAAUGUGGAAUAUUGGACAAUGGGCGCGAGCCUGAUCCACCCAUACCGCGUGGAUGAAGAACGCCUUCGGGUUGUAAAGCCCUUUUGUUGGGAAAGAAAUCCAUCUGGCUAAUACCCGGGUGGGAUGACGGUACCCAAAGAAUAAGCACCGGCUAACUUCGUGCCAGCAGCCGCGGUAAUACGAAGGGUGCAAGCGUUACUCGGAAUUACUGGGCGUAAAGCGUGCGUAGGUGGUCGUUUAAUUCCAUUGUGAAAGCCCUGGGCUCAACCUGGGAACUGCAGUGGAUACUGGGCGACUAGAUUGUGGUAGAGGGAAUCGGAAUUCCUGGUGUAGCAGUGAAAUGCGUAGAGAUCAGGAGGAACAUCCAUGGCGAAGGCAGCUACCUGGACCAACACUGACACUGAGGCACGAAAGCGUGGGGAGCAAACAGGAUUAGAUACCCUGGUAGUCCACGCCCUAAACGAUGCGAACUGGAUGUUGGGUGCAAUUUGGCACGCAGUAUCGAAGCUAACGCGUUAAGUUCGCCGCCUGGGGAGUAC
rnacentral:rRNA from 1 species